GAUGAACGCUGGCGGCGUGCUUAACACAUGCAAGUCGAACGGAAAGGCUCCUGCUUGCAGGGGUACUCGAGUGGCGAACGGGUGAGUAACACGUGGGUGAUCUGCCCUGCACUUCGGGAUAAGCCUGGGAAACUGGGUCUAAUACCGGAUAGGACGAUGGGUUGGAUGCCAUUGUGGAAAGAUUUUCGGUGUGGGAUGAGCUCGCGGCCUAUCAGCUUGUUGGUGGGGUAAUGGCCUACCAAGGCGUCGACGGGUAGCCGGCCUGAGAGGGUGUAAGGCCACAUUGGGAUUGAGGUACGGGCCAGAGUGCAACGGGAGGCAGCGGUGGGAGACAUUGCACAAUGGGCGCCAGCAGGAUGCAGCGACGCCGGGUGGGGGAGGACGGCCUUCGGGUUGUAAACUCCUUUCGCUAGGGACGAAGCGCAAGUGACGGUACCUGGAGAAGAAGCACCGGCUAACUACGUG
rnacentral:rRNA from 1 species